GACGAAGGAUGCAAGCGUUAUCCGGAUUCAUUGGGUUUAAAGGGUGCGUAGGCGGCCAGAUAAGUCAGUGGUGAAAUCCUGUUGCUUAACAACAGAACUGCCAUUGAUACUGUUUGGCUUGAGUAUAGUUGCUGUGAGCGGAAUAUGACAUGUAGUGGUGAAAUACAUAGAGAUGUCAUAGAACACCGAUUGCGAAGGCAGCUCACAAAACUAUAACUGACGCUGAGGCACGAAAGUGCGGGGAUCAAACAGG
rnacentral:rRNA from 1 species